rnacentral:rRNA from 1 species
AUUGAACGCUGGCGGCAGGCCUAACACAUGCAAGUCGAACGGUAGCACAGAGGAGCUUGCUCCUUGGGUGACGAGUGGCGGACGGGUGAGUAAUGUCUGGGAAACUGCCCGAUGGAGGGGGAUAACUACUGGAAACGGUAGCUAAUACCGCAUAACGUCUUCGGACCAAAGUGGGGGACCUUCGGGCCUCACACCAGCGGAUGUGCCCAGAUGGGAUUAGCUAGUAGGUGGGGUAAUGGCUCACCUAGGCGACGAUCCCUAGCUGGUCUGAGAGGAUGACCAGCCACACUGGAACUGAGACACGGUCCAGACUCCUACGGGAGGCAGCAGUGGGGAAUAUUGCGCAAUGGGCGCAAGCCUGAUGCAGCCAUGCCGCGUGUAUGAAGAAGGCCUUCGGGUUGUAAAGUACUUUCAGCGGGGAGGAAGGCGUUAAGGUUAAUAACCUUGGCGAUUGACGUUACCCGCAGAAGAAGCACCGGCUAACUCCGUGCCAGCAGCCGCGGUAA